UGGAAAUUCUAUGAAUUUUGAAUUUUUAUAUUAGGGUUGAAAGUUUGGAUAUAAGUUUGAAAUGUUUAGGUUUCUAGAAUUCUUAAGUCCCGUUUGUUUUGCCAAUUACCCUGGUAAUGUAGGGCAAAAGUUUCAUCAUUGUGAUUUUAUAACUGCUAAAACAAACAUGGGAGUUGUUGGUCAAAGACUCAAAUGCAGAUGUAUUCAGGAGACAGGUAAAAGAAUUUGUAGUCAUUGAACUUUUUCAUGGCAUUACUGUAAAAUCUCAAACAUGAGUGUAUUUUGGUGAUGAUUUGACAUUAAAGUAAUGCAAAAAUGCCCACACUCUAAUUUUACUACCGUCAAAUGUAGAUGUUGCCAAGAGACAAGUGAAGUAAUUUUUAAUCAUUGUACAUUUCCUUUACAUGAUUAUGGUAAUUGGUGAAGCAAACAGGCCUGUACGGAAAUUUCUAUGCUAAUUUAAAUUUUUAGGUCUGGUUUGAACAUCGGUACAGUUGAAUCAGUAUAUUUGCUUGAAAUUUCCAUGUUUAUGAAAGGUAUAGUGUGGAUUCUACCCAAAGUCUGAUUUUUUUUUUUUUUUUUUGUCUAGUAUCGAUAUACUUGUAUCUGUACUAGAAGCUUUUGACCGAAAUUGCUAGGGAUUUGAAAUUUCUAGGUUAGGGUGCAAAAACUGUCAUAUAGCCUUGAAAUUUAUGUCUUUUGGUUGAUUUGGUAGUGUGUAUCAGAAAAUUUACAAAAGUGGUUGAGUUCUGUGGGUGUAGGAUCUGAAAAUGAGCACAUGCAAUUGACUUUUUAGGUUUGGAGGAUUUGUAUGUUAGAAUUUGAAGCCCAACAAGGUCUUUGGAACAUUUUUAGGCUAGGAACAUAAAAGAUUCCUGAAAUCAAGGACGAGAACUAUACUGCAGGUGCUUGCGCCAUUGAACUGACUGCUAAAUGUCAAUGCCUUUGGUGAUUGCUUCUGAUACAUGAGUUGAAGGAUUUAUGGCAUAAUUCUGGAUAGUAUUGCAUUAAUCACCAUCACAGUCACUCUGUGAGAUUGCUCUUAGUAGCGGUCAAACUUGGAUUGAAGUAUAAACCUGGAAGGUUUCUCAUAGCACUCUGCUAGGCUAAACAUGGUUGUUAAUGUCAGAUGUGUAUAUAAGCUACAGCAUGAAUUUUCCAUGGACCAUUUUUGUCAUCCAUCUAUUUGAUGACAACCGAUCAGAUAUCUAGGUUCAUCAUGUUUUGUAACUAAGAUAUUUCGCCCAUUUACUGCCCAUAGGUGGGCCAACAGUAUGGAGGUUUGGCAUUGACAUAGGCCAUAUAGUAGAAAGUGUGCAUGUGUGUUGUGUAAUUCCUCUUGAGAAGAGUUCCAAAGAACAGUACAUAAUAUAUGGUGUGAAAAUUUGACUAAAAUCUCUGCUUAUUUCAGACCACAAUGGCCAGUGUGCUGUAGGCUGUUAUGCUUGUUGUUGUGAGACAAAUGUUCUAAAAGCAACAGGGUUUGUUGGUGUAUGACAUCUUUUGCUGCCUUGAAUAUUGUGUCCCUCAUCCGCCACUAUCAGAGAAAUACUCUUAUUAGCCCUGUUAAUCCAACUUCAAAUGUGGAUUAUGUUGGGAACCUCAGAUUAGCCACUUCUGAUGCUUUUGGUCAAACUGUUGUGUGUCAUUUUUAUGUUUGGUUUCCCAAGGUCAUUCUAUACUCAAGCCAAUGAGAGUUCCAUGAAUUUCUAUCAAUUAGGAACAUUGCUGUCUACAGAGGCAAACAGCCAAACACCAAUACCGAUCUGCUUGCUAAGUCUAGGGCAAGCAGGGAUCAACUUAUUGUGGUUGAUUUCUGAUGAUUCUCUUUUGUUUCUGUGGUUUUCUGUAGCAGUAUCUUGCUGCUAUUCCUUCCUAUAUCUAUGAUAUAUUAUUGGUUUCCAUGCUAUGGUUCCUGUGUUGUUGCAGCUCUGUUUCUUUUUGAAUAAAACCUUGAGCUUACUCAUUGGAGGAAAAAAAAGAAGGGACAUUGAUGUCAUCCUAACACAAACUGCUAUGCCUUGAUGCUUUAUUUUGAAGUGUGGCCACACUGUCAUUCUAGAUUGACUCGAUGAAAUGAUAUGUUUUCAAUACAUUAAAAG